UCUAGUCUCUAUAGUAAUUAAUAACUGGUCCCGAAAAUAGAAUUUAGUGGGUCAAAAGGCACCACUCCUCACUAAAUUAAAAUAUACUUGUCUUUCUUUUUGGGACUUAGUAAAAUCCCUAAACCCUAAUCUGCUCACCUUCAAGUUGCCCCACAUUGAAUACACCUCUUCUUCUUCAUCUCCAUCGACUAAAGUUGCUUCUUCCAACAUCACCAACCUGAAAAUUCUUUGAUAACACAAAAUUAAUAAACCAAUGAAGCUAAUUUCCUUCCCGUCAUGAGUAACCCACCUUCAAGUGAUGCUCUUUCGAUUUGACGAAGAAGAUUACAGUUGGGCUCUGCAACAACUGUAAUAAUCAAGGAAAUGGGGUAUUUUCUUCACUUGAUAUCCUUAUGGCGAUAUUUAAUCUACUAAAUUUUGACUUUUGCUUGUUUUGUUAUUAUUUUUAUAGUUUGCUUCAAAUUCUAUAUGUACGACGCCGAAUUAGUUCUAUAUGUGUUUUUUGGUUGAAAAUAUACGUUGUUGGCUAUGAAAGUUACCUAUUUUAAAGA